rnacentral:rRNA from 1 species
GACGAACGCUGGCGGCGUGCUUAACACAUGCAAGUCGAACGGAAAGGCCUGCUUUCCCUUGUGGAUUGCGGGUACUCGAGUGGCGAACGGGUGAGUAACACGUGAGUGAUCUGCCCCCAACUUGGGUAUAAGCCUGGGAAACUGGGUCUAAUUCCCGAUAGGACUGCAGGGUGGUGCCUGUGGUGGAAAACGAUUUUCUAGUGGUUGGGGAUGAGCUCGCGGCCUAUCAGCUUGUUGGUGGGGUAAUGGCCUACCAAGGCGGCGACGGGUAGCCGGCCUGGGAGGGGGGACGGGCACAUUGGGACUGAGAGACGGGCCAGACUCCUACGGGAGGCAGCAGUGGGGAAUAUUGCACAAUGGGCGGAAGCCUGAUGCAGCGACGCCGCGUGGGGGAUGACGGCCUUCGGGUUGUAAACUCCUUUCGACCGCGAGGAAGCCACCUGGUUGGAAGGGUGGUGACGGUAGUGGUAGAAGAAGCACCGGCUAACUACGUG